rnacentral:lncRNA from 1 species
GGAGCCUUAGGAUCUGCCUUGGAAAAGGAAUGAAGAGGUCUAGGGAGACUGGAGAGAGCCACUGAAGGGAAAAGGGUUCGGAAUUGGUAAUUGCUUUUGGCAGGAGAUGAGAGAGGAGGGGGUGAUACAGUGUGUAACCGGCCUCGGCCCGAAAAGCAUAAUGUGAACAACUUAAAAACUGUUUUACGAGAUCGUGAAUUCUAGUGAGUGCAACUUCCACGGGGGCUGGGGACUUAGCUGUUUUGUUUACCCAGCCAAGUGCCUGAUGCCGAGUAGGUACCUAGUAAGCCUUUGCCGCCUGGAUGACUGCAAGGCUGGAGGCGCCUCCUUUCAUCACUGAGCUGUAGGAGGAGUUGUGGAGCUAAACCCUACCUGGGAGGCAAGGUAACGCUGUAGAAACAGCUGCUUAAAUGCCUGAGGAAUGGAUGUGCCUGGACCUGCCUCGACUCCCAGGUGGCAAAUCAGAGCUGUUGCUGUGGGCCUACACCAGAUCCUUAAUCCACUGAGUGAGGCCAGGGAUCUAACCUGCAACCUCAUGGUUCCUAAUCGGAUUCGUUAACCACUGAGCAACGACGAGAACUCCCACUACAUAUAUUCUUUUUUUUUUUUUUUUAAGAUAUCUUUUUAUUUAUUUAUUUUUUGUUUGUUGUUUUGUUUUGUUUUGUUUUGCUUUAUCUAGGGCCGCUCCCACGGCAUGUGGAGGCUCCCAGGCUAGCGGUUGAAUCGGAGCUGUAGCCACCGGCCUACACCAGAGCCACAGCAACGUAGGAUCAGAGCCAUGUUUGCAGCCUACACCACAGCUCAGGGCAACGCCAGAUCCUUUAACCCACUGAGCAAGGCCAGGGAUCGAACCUGCAACCUCUUGGUUCCUAGUCAGAUUCGUUAACCACUGCGCCACGAAGGGAACUCCUUACUACAUAUAUUCUUUACACAAACUUUCAAAAGAAAAGGCAUUCAAGGUAUGCAUUUAUAUCUUAUAUAAAUAUUCAUUUUUAUAUUUAUAUAAAGAUAUCUUACAAGCAAUAAUUGAAGUCUGAAAAACAUUAUUAUAUUUGCACUUUUCAUACUUUCAAAAGUGAAAUUUGAAAUUUCUAAAGUGAAAUUAUUUUUGGAAGGUCUUUCAUAAACCAAAUAAGUACUUGAGACAACCUGGGCCAAAUUUAAAAAAUCCUUUUCAGAAAGAAGAAGGUGGAAGCUUAUGCUUUGAGCCCAGUUUGCCACUAAACUGGUUAUUAAACCUGAUUUAUUAUGAUAUGGACAGGCAUCAUAUCAGUUGAGGUGACCAUUAUAACUUCCAAACUCAUUUUAGGUUAAAUAUAAAAAUUCCAAACUAAAGCUUUUUUUUCCUUGAGAUAAAUCUCUAAUACUAAGUUUGAAAAUAUCCAUUGAUUUAUUAUUUUACAAAAAUUCAGAAUUCAUUAUGUGCUCUGCACUGUUUUAGACACUAGAAGACAAAAGUGAAUACAAUAUAAAAUUCUUGCCCUUAGGAAGCUAACGUUUUAGUGAGGGGUGUCAGGUUUUUUCUCCUUUGUAGGUAUUUAACGUAUGGUUUCAUAUACAGUUAUAGAAAUAGUAUGCUAUAGAGCCUACAGAAAAAAAAGAAGCAUUAAUUGAAGACUUGAGAAGUGGGUUCAUCGUGUGUGUACCAGGAACUGGCUUUUGCAUUAAAUUAGCAUUUCAGAAAUAUCUAUCUAUUUAUUUUUUUCAGUUUGAUAUUUCUUUUUAAUUACUCAAUUUAUUUUACUACAUUUAUAGUUGUACAACGAUCAUCAUGACCCAAUUUUGUAACAUUUCCAUCCCAAACCCCCAGCACAUCCCCUCACCCCCCAACCUGUCUCAUUUGGAAAGCAUACAUUUUUCAAAGUCUGUGAGUCAGUAUUUGUUCUGCAAGGAAGUUCAUUGUGUCUUUUUUUUAGAUUCCACAUGUAAGUGAUACCAUAUGAUGUUGAUGUCUUGCUGUCUGACUGACUUCACCUAGCAUGAUAAUUUCUAGGUCCAUCCAUGUUGCUGCAAAUGCCAUUAUUUCUUUCCUUUUAAUGGCUGAGUAAUGUUCCAUUGUGUACAUGUACCAUAUCUUCUGUAUCUAGUCCUCUGUCGAUGGACAUUUUGGUUGUUUCUAUGUCUUGGCUAUUGUACUGCAGUGCUGCAAUGAACAUUGGAGCACAUGUAUCUUUUCGAGUCAUGGUUUUUCUCUGGAUAGAUGCCCAGGAGAAGGAUUGCUGGAUCAAAUGGUAAUUCUGUUUUUAGUUUUCUGAGGAAUCUCCAUACUGCUUUCCACAGUGGUUGUACCAAAUUACAAUCCCACCAACAGUGUAAUAGAGUUCCUUUUUCUUCACACCCUCUCCAGCAUUUAUUGUUUGUAGACUUUUUUUUUUUUUUUUUUUUGGUCCUUUUGCCAUUUCUUGGGCCACUCCCUUGGCAUAUGGAGGUUUCCAGGCUAAGGGUCGAAUCGGAGCUGUAGCCACCGGCCUACACCAGGGCCACAGCAACACUGGAUCUGAGCUGCGUCUGCAACCUAUACCACAGCUCAUGGCAACUCGGGACCUUAACCCACUGAGCGAGGCCAGGGAUCGAACCCGCAACCUUAUGGUUCCUAGUGGGAUUUGUUAACCACUGAGCCACAACGGGAACUCCUGUUUGUAGACUUUUUAAUGAUGGUCAUUCUAGCCAGUGUAAGGUGGUAUCUCAAAGUGGUUUUGAUUUGCAUCAGAAAUAUCUAAGUCCACAUUGUUGACACUACAGUGAAAGCAGUGAAACUUGUCAGCAGAUGAUUAAGUUUUAUGGUUAAUGUCCACACUUUUGCAUCUUGGGACCAAUAUCAAGUUUCUGGGAAAAACAUCCUUCCUGUCUCCCCAUGUCUGUCAUUAAAUCAGUGUCUCAGCCUGUUGGUGUUAGAUGUGUUC